rnacentral:pre_miRNA from 1 species
AAAAAUCAGUGCAGGAUCUAGUGAAAGGACUCAAGCUCGUGAUAGAUAAUUAUUUUCUUUGAGUCCUUCCAUUAGAUCCCGCAAUGAUUUUU